GGGAAUUUGCUGUUGUUUGUAAGCCAGACACUGCUACAUACAGUACUAUUAUCGAUGGUCUUUGUAAGGAAGGUUUUGUGGACAAGGCCAAGGAACUGUUUCUGCAGAUGAAGGAUAACAAUAUUAACCCUAACAUGGUUACCUAUACCUCUGUGAUUCGUGGUUUUUGUUAUGCUAAUGAUUGGAAUGAGACCAAGUGUUUGCUAAUUGAGAUGAUGGACCAAGGGGUACAGCCUAAUGUUGUGACUUUCAAUGUCAUCAUGAAUGAGCUCUGCAAGAAUGGAAAGAUGGAUGAGGCAAGUCGGUUGUUGGACCUGAUGAUUCAGUUUGGUGUGCGUCCAAAUGCUUUUGUCUAUAACACAUUAAUGGACGGGUUUUGCUUGACAGGUAGAGUUAAUCGUGCGAAGGAACUAUUUGUUUCUAUGGAGAGUAUGGGUUGCAAACAUACUGUUUUUAGUUACAGUAUUUUGAUAAAUGGUUACUGCAAGAAUAAGGAAAUAGAGGGAGCGUUAACCCUUUAUAGCGAAAUGCUCUCUAAAGGAAUUAAGCCAACAGUUGUUACAUAUAGCACCUUGUUUCUUGGACUUUUUGAAAUACACCAGGUUCAGCAUGCUUUAAAACUGUUUGAUGAGAUGCAGCGUAAUCAUGUGGCAGCUAAUACAUAUAUAUACACUACCUUUAUUGACGGGCUCUGCAAGAAUGGUUUGGAACUGUUUCUGAAGAUGAAGGAUGAGAAUAUUAACCCCAAUGUGGUUACUUAUACCUCUUUGAUUCACGGUUUUUGUUACGCUAAUGAUUGGAAUGAGGCGAAGUGUUUGUUUAUUGAGAUGAUGGACCAAGGGGUACAACCUAAUGUUGUGACUUUCAAUGUGAUCAUGGAUGAGCUCUGCAAGAAUGGAAAGAUGGAUAAAGC
rnacentral:lncRNA from 1 species